AGAGCGGGAGCCCGGAGAUGGGCACUGAGACAAGGGCCCAGGCCCUACGGGGCGCAGCAGUCGCGAAAACUCCGCAAUGCGCGAAAGCGUGACGGGGCUACCCCGAGUGCCGUCCGCUGAGGAUGGCUUUUCCCCGGUAUAAUGAGCCGGGGGAAUAAGGAGAGGGCAAGACUGGUGUCAGCCGCCGCGGUAAUACCAGCUCUCCGAGUGGUAGGGACGAUUAUUGGGCUUAAAGCGUCCGUAGCCGGCUUAGCAAGUCUCCCGUUAAAUUCAGCGACUCAAUCGUUGAGCCGCGGGGGACACUACUAGGCUAGGAGGCGGGAGAGGCCGACGGUAUUCUCGGGGUAGGGGUGAAAUCCUAUAAUCCCGGGAGGACCACCAGUGGCGAAGGCUGUCGGCU
rnacentral:rRNA from 1 species